GAUGAACGCUGGCGGCGUGCCUAAUACAUGCAAGUCGAGCGAACGGACGAGAAGCUUGCUUCUCUGAUAUUAGCGGCGGACGGGUGAGUAACACGUGGAUAACCUACCUAUAAGACUGGGAUAACUUCGUGAAACCGGAGCUAAUACCGGAUAAUAUUUUGAACCGCAUGGUUCAAAAGUGAAAGACGGUCUUGCUGUCACUUAUAGAUGGAUCCGCGCUGCAUUAGCUAGUUGGUAAGGUAACGGCUUACCAAGGCAACGAUGCAUAGCCGACCUGAGAGGGUGAUCGGCCACACUGGAACUGAGACACGGUCCAGACUCCUACGGGAGGCAGCAGUAGGGAAUCUUCCGCAAUGGGCGAAAGCCUGACGGAGCAACGCCGCGUGAGUGAUGAAGGUCUUCGGAUCGUAAAACUCUGUUAUUAGGGAAGAACAUAUGUGUAAGUAACUGUGCACAUCUUGACGGUACCUAAUCAGAAAGCCACGGCUAACUACGUG
rnacentral:rRNA from 1 species